AGUGAACGCUGGCGGUAGGCCUAACACAUGCAAGUCGAACGGCAGCACAGUAAGAGCUUGCUCUUACGGGUGGCGAGUGGCGGACGGGUGAGGAAUACAUCGGAAUCUACUUUUUCGUGGGGGAUAACGUAGGGAAACUUACGCUAAUACCGCAUACGACCUGCGGGUGAAAGCAGGGGAUCUUCGGACCUUGCGCGAUUGAAUGAGCCGAUGUCGGAUUAGCUAGUUGGCGGGGUAAAGGCCCACCAAGGCGACGAUCCGUAGCUGGUCUGAGAGGAUGAUCAGCCACACUGGAACUGAGACAUGGUCCAGACUCCUACGGGAGGCAGCAGUGGGGAAUAUUGGACAAUGGGCGCAAGCCUGAUCCAGCCAUACCGCGUGGGUGAAGAAGGCCUUCGGGUUGUAAAGCCCUUUUGUUGGGAAAGAAAAGCAGCAGGUUAAUACCCCGCUGUUCUGACGGUACCCAAAGAAUAAGCACCGGCUAACUUCGUG
rnacentral:rRNA from 1 species